rnacentral:rRNA from 1 species
CCUACGGGUGGCUGCAGUGGGGAAUAUUGGACAAUGGGGGCAACCCUGAUCCAGCCAUGCCGCGUGUGUGAAGAAGGCCCUCGGGUUGUAAAGCACUUUCAGUGAGGAAGAACGCCUGGUGGUUAAUACCCAUCAGGAAAGACAUCACUCACAGAAGAAGCACCGGCUAACUCCGUGCCAGCAGCCGCGGUAAUACGGAGGGUGCGAGCGUUAAUCGGAAUUACUGGGCGUAAAGCGCGCGUAGGUGGCUUGAUAAGCCGGUUGUGAAAGCCCCGGGCUCAACCUGGGAACGGCAUCCGGAACUGUCAAGCUAGAGUGCAGGAGAGGAAGGUAGAAUUCCCGGUGUAGCGGUGAAAUGCGUAGAGAUCGGGAGGAAUACCAGUGGCGAAGGCGGCCUUCUGGACUGACACUGCCACUGAGGUGCGAAAGCGUGGGUAGCAAACAGGCUUAGAUACCCGAGUAGUC